AACGAACGCUGGCGGCAUGCCUAACACAUGCAAGUCGAACGAGACCUCCGGGUCUAGUGGCGCACGGUUGCGUAACGCGUGGGAACCUUCCCUUAGGUUCGGAAUAACUCCCCGAAAGGGGUGCUAAUACCGGAUAAUGUCUUCGGCCCAAAGACUUAUCGCCUUUGGAUGUUCCCGCGUUGGAUUAGCUAGUUGUUAGGGUAAAAGCAUACCAAGGCGACGAUCCAUAGCUGGUUUGAGAGGCUGAUCAGCCACACUGGGACUGAGACACGGCCCAGACUCCUACGGGAGGCAGCAGUGGGGAAUAUUGGACAGUGGGCGAAAGGCUGAUCCAGCAAUGCCGCGUGAGUGAUGAAGGCCUUAGGGUUGUAAAGCUCUUUUAACCGGGAUGAUAAUGACGGUACCGGGAGAAUAAGCCCCGGCUAACUCCGUG
rnacentral:rRNA from 1 species